UACGUAGGAGGCAAGCGUUGUCCGGAAUUACUGGGCGUAAAGCGCGUGUAGGCGGAUGCCUAAGUCUGUGGUGAAAGCGCCUGGCUUAACCGGGCGAGGUCCAUGGAAACUAGGCGUCUGGAGGCCGGUAGAGGGGGGUGGAAUUCCGGGUGUAGUGGUGAAAUGCGUAGAGAUCCGGAGGAACACCAGUGGCGAAGGCGGCUCACUGGCCCGGUACUGACGCUGAGGUGCGAAAGCGUGGGGAGCAAACAGG
rnacentral:rRNA from 1 species